ACAGAAGCAAAGAUAUGGGGUCUGGUGUAAUAGUGGUGUAUUGUCGGUGGUCAUUUUUUAAAAUGUCUAUAAAAUAAAUGAAGGGUGAUCUAACUUGUCUCUUUGGAUAAAAUGUUUCCUAUGGCCCUAAGGUACUUCCAUGCCAAAGGACAGUAAAUCUCAGUUUAGGGGGAGGGGUGGGGGGGGGGGGUAAGUUACCCUGUUAAAACGUACAUUUUAUAAUGAAAUUUGCAUAUUUUACCCCCCGCUGUCAUGGUAAUUAAUGAUGCAUUGGGUUUUUUGCAUUGAAACCUAUUUAAUUGAAUUCCUAGACCCCAAAAAUGUGCACUUUGACACCAAUGUUAUGAUUAUAGCUCUAACAGAAGCAGAGAUACGGGGUCUGGUGUUUUGGCGGUUUAUUGUCAGCGGCCAUUUUUAAAAUGGCGAUAAAAAAAAAAUUGAAGGGUGAUCUAACUUGUCUCUUUGGAUAAAAUAUUUCCUAUGACCCUAAGGUACUUCCAUACCAAAGGGGAUAUUUGUUGCAUGACUUGAAGUUUACAGCUUAUUUUUUGGGCUUAGGGACUCCACUAAAAAGAAAG
rnacentral:lncRNA from 1 species